rnacentral:rRNA from 1 species
AGGAUGAACGCUGGCGGCGUGCCUAAUACAUGCAAGUCGAGCGGAAAGGCCUCUUCGGAGGUACUCGAGCGGCGGACGGCUGAGUAACGCGUAGGAACGUACCCCAAAGUGAGGGAUAAGCACCAGAAAUGGUGUCUAAUACCGCAUGUGAUCUAAGGAUUAAAGCUUCGGCGCUUUGGGAACGGCCUGCGUAUGAUUAGCUUGUUGGUGAGGUAAUGGCUCACCAAGGCUUUGAUCAUUAGCUGGUCUGAGAGGAUGAUCAGCCAGACUGGGACUGAGAACGGCCCAGACUCCUACGGAGGCAGCAGUAGGGAAUUUUUCCACAAUGGGCGAAAGCCUGAUGGAGCAACGCCGCGUGCAGGAUGAAUGCCUUCGGGUUGUAAACUGCUUUUAUAUGUGACGAAUAUGACGGUAGCAUAUGAAUAAGGAUCGGCUAACUCCGUGCCAGCAGCCGCGGU